rnacentral:rRNA from 1 species
UACGUAGGGACCAAGCGUUGUUCGGAUUUACUGGGCGUAAAGGGCGCGUAGGCGGCGUGGUAAGUCAGUUGUGAAAUCUCUGAGCUUAACUCAGAACGGCCAAGUGAUACUGCUGGGCUAGAGUGCAGAAGGGGCAAUCGGAAUUCUUGGUGUAGCGGUGAAAUGCGUAGAUAUCUGGAGGAAUACCGGUGGCGAAGGCGGCAUCCUGGACCAUAACUGACGCUGAGGCGCGAAAGCUAGGGGAGCAAACGGG